UCAUCUAUUCAGGUGUUGUUUCAGUUAAUUCAGGUCAUCUACUCAGGUAUUAUUCCAGUUAAUUCAGGUCAUCUACUCAGGUGUUGUUCCAGUUAAUUCAGGUCAUCUACUCAGGUAUUAUUCCAGUUAAUUCAGGUCAUCUACUCAGGUGUUGUUCCAGUUAAUUCAGGUCAUCUACUCAGGUGUUAUUCCAGUUAAUUCAGGUCUUUUACUCAGGUACUGUUCCUAUUAAUUCAGGUCAUCUAUUCAGGUAGCGUUCUAAAUAACUAAGUCAUCUACUACUGUUGUUCCAAUCAACUGCAACAAUUU